CUGUCAGUGGAUGGCUCGGUUCGAGUGCCGAUGAAGGGCGUGCCAAGCU
rnacentral:rRNA from 1 species